rnacentral:tRNA from 1 species
GCCACCGUAACUCAGUUUGGUAGAGUACCUCAUUCGUAAUGAGGGAGUCGGAGGUUCGAAUCCUCUCGGUGGCU